rnacentral:rRNA from 1 species
GACGAACGCUGGCGGCGUGCCUAAUACAUGCAAGUUGAGCGCUGAAGGUUGGUACUUGUACCAACUGGAUGAGCAGCGAACGGGUGAGUAACGCGUGGGGAAUCUGCCUUUGAGCGGGGGACAACAUUUGGAAACGAAUGCUAAUACCGCAUAAAAACUUUAAACACAAGUUUUAAGUUUGAAAGAUGCAAUUGCAUCACUCAAAGAUGAUCCCGCGUUGUAUUAGCUAGUUGGUGAGGUAAAGGCUCACCAAGGCGAUGAUACAUAGCCGACCUGAGAGGGUGAUCGGCCACAUUGGGAAUGAGAAACGGCCCAAACUCCUACGGGAGGCAGCAGUAGGGAAUCUUCGGCAAUGGACGAAAGUCUGAACGAGAAACGACGCGUGAGUGAAGAAGGUUUUCGGAUCGUAAAACUCUGUUGGUAGAGAAGAACGUUGGUGAGAGUGGAAAGCUCAUCAAGUGACGGUAACUACCCAGAAAGGGACGGCUAACUACGUG